UUUGGUUCCAAAUUUUGACCUUUAGGUACUUUUUCGGCCUUUUCGUGAACUGUGCUACAUUACGGGACCAAAAUUAUUUGUUCAAACAUUAUUUUCGCAUUUUUUCAUGUAUCAAACCUCGUUAGGACCUGAUGGGGUAUCCCUAUGUAGCGGGUGGGACCCACGACAAAUGGUUCCUAAAGUCGCUAAAAAGUAUAGAUACAAUUGCAUUGCAUGUCCUAACGGAUACGAUUAUACCAGCACUAAUGUACCGGAUCCCAUCAGAACUCCGCAGUUAAGCGCGCUUGGGCGAGAGUAGUACUAGAAUGGGUAACCUCCCGGGAAAUCCUCGUGUUGCAUCCCUAUUUU
rnacentral:sRNA from 1 species